rnacentral:rRNA from 1 species
AGAGUUUGAUCCUGGCUCAGAAUCAACGCUGGCGGCGUGCCUCAGACAUGCAAGUCGAACGCGAAAGGCCCCUUCGGGGGCCGAGUAGAGUGGCGCACGGGUGAGUAACACGUGGAUAAUUUGCCUUCGGGUGGGGAAUAACAACCGGAAACGGUUGCUAAUACCGCAUAAUGCAGCGGCAUCUAUGAUGACAGUUGUUAAAGCGGGGGAUCGCAAGACCUCGCGCCUGAAGAGAAGUCCGCGGCAGAUUAGCUAGUUGGUAGGGUAAUGGCCUACCAAGGCGACGAUCUGUAGCCGGCCUGAGAGGGCGGUCGGCCACACUGACACUGACAUACGGGCCAGACUCCUACGGGAGGCAGCAGUCGGGAAUUUUGGGCAAUGGGCGAAAGCCUGACCCAGCAACGCCGCGUGAAGGAUGAAGUUUUUCGGAAUGUAAACUUCACAAGAAUGGGAAGAAUAAGUUGAAGCUAAUACCUUCGACGAUGACGGUACCAUUUGUAAGCUCCGGCUAACUCCGUGCCAGCAGCCGCGGUAAUACGGGGGGAGCAAGCGUUGUUCGGAUUUACUGGGCGUAAAGGGCGCGUAGGCGGCGCAACAAGUCACUUGUGAAAUCUCCGGGCUCAACUCGGAACGGUCAAGUGAUACUGUCGUGCUAGAGUGCGGAAGGGGCAACUGGAAUUCUCGGUGUAGCGGUGAAAUGCGUAGAUAUCGAGAGGAACACCUGCGGCGAAGGCGGGUUGCUGGGCCGACACUGACGCUGAGGCGCGAAAGCUAGGGGAGCAAACGGGAUUAGAUACCCCCGUAGUCC